rnacentral:rRNA from 1 species
AUGGGACACCUAUUCAGGCCAAGACCAUGGCCAUCGUUCAAAUAUCAUUCAGUCGCAGGCUCUCCCGAGAAGAGAUGCUCAUGUAUAAGUAGUCAGGCGCAUGAAGUUUCAUGGUUCAAUCAUUGGCUAGUUCAGUUGCUGUUCAGAAAGGUGGUUUCCUUUCAAGUUUUUUGCUGUGAGCUGAUUCACAUGGAAGAGGUUUUCAGUUUCCAAUCUGUUGAGAUUUCGCAAUAUAGACCUGAUGACCCAAGGUUGCUAUUGUGGCUGCCGACUAGUGCAGACAGUCUAGGGAAGAUAUUGGUGCAGGGAAUACCUUGCAAUGGAACUCCGCAUGCUUUUUUUAAGGUGAUGGCAGAGCGAUACAGGGUUAUCAUGGAACAGAACUCCGACCAAGGCCACGGCCACUGUUUGAGUUCAAUCAGGAGACCAUUCAGUUGCAGCUACAAUGGACAUCAUUUUCAUUAUAUGAGCAAUUUUUGA